rnacentral:rRNA from 1 species
AACGAACGCUGGCGGCAGGCCUAACACAUGCAAGUCGAACGGGACCUUCGGGUCUAGUGGCGGACGGGUGAGUAACGCGUGGGAACGUGCCCUUUGGUUCGGAAUAGCCCUGGGAAACUGGGAGUAAUACCGGAUACGGUCGAGAGACGAAAGAUUUAUCGCCAAGGGAUCGGCCCGCGUUGGAUUAGGUAGUUGGUGGGGUAAUGGCCUACCAAGCCGACGAUCCAUAGCUGGUUUGAGAGGAUGAUCAGCCACACUGGGACUGAGACACGGCCCAGACUCCUACGGGAGGCAGCAGUGGGGAAUCUUAGACAAUGGGGGAAACCCUGAUCUAGCCAUGCCGCGUGAGCGAUGAAGGCCUUAGGGUUGUAAAGCUCUUUCAGUGGGGAAGAUAAUGACGGUACCCACAGAAGAAGCCCAGGCUAACUCCGUGCCAGCCGCCGCAGUAAAAC